ACGAUGAAAAACAAACUUACCAUCACAAUUAAUUUUUGAACUGAGAGGGGCUCGAUGUAUGGGGUUGCGCUAUCCAUGUUUUGGAUAAGGAAAUCCUUACACGCCAAACACACUCUCUUACCAGUCCAGCACAAUACACUUUUCAAGCACGUGAUAGCCAAGCCCCUCUCACUUUUCCCUAAUGAAAGCAGCAAUUCCACAACUUGACCUGCAAAACAUAAGAUAUUAAUGAUAAUGUUUUCUUGUCGAGAAAAGAACACAUAAAAUAAUCAAGAAACCCUCUUCUUUCAAGAAACCCAACUGCCAUUAGCUUAAUCCAAGUGAACCCUCAAACUUGGAACAUGGUAAGCAAAUAAAAAAAAAUUAUUACUAAUGGGAUACUCGAUACAUCAUAUUCCUGAAAGUAGG
rnacentral:lncRNA from 1 species